ACUUCCCCUAGGGUAUUUAGUCUGGGUCUCUUUCUUUGUUCAGUGUUGGAUCAUUUUUGUAACUGCAUGGUGUGAUUCCUGUCUGAUAUAGUGCCCGUCUGUGUGUUGCCGUUGGGUGCACUUUUUGUUGUACCUGGUUCCUGUGCCCACUUCCCUGGCAUUCUUAACAUGAGUUCUGUAUUGGAUUCUUUGUCUCCCUUGGACCUUGGCUGGAUACUGGAUCUUGCCUGCUCCCUAUUGAACUGUUUAGUCAUUGGACUCACUUCCCUGCUUCCACCACUGCCAGCCGCGGCCUUUAACGAACACCAUUUCCCAUAGACCACUGUUGGUAAAACAUCACAGCUUGACAAGAGGAUGAGGAGGCUGUAAAGUGAGAGAUCUGGGCAGCAAUCACACAACAACAUCCUGUUUCAACUGGAAAUUAAACACUUCUCUCCCACUCUGACUGCAUCUCUCCUCACCGGUUGACAACUACAAGCAAACACUGUAGCUCACAUCUUGUGCUUAGGAGACAGCACUACUGCCAGACGUCUCAGGGGAGACCUGUGUGUGCAUACAUUACCAACUCUUCCCCCCAGCCAACCUGCACUAGUCCUGUCAACACAUAAGGCUCCGAAGCUUAUCUCUCAAAAACACAAGGGCCUGCUCUGUCAUGUGGGUCACACCGGCUAUUUCUCCUGGUCCCGGCAGGGAUGUGGCCCUAUACACCUACUACAAACAGCCAUUAAUUGAUGUGGCAGAGAUCUGGAUGUCAAAUUGGUUUUCAUUACCCCCCUUCGCAGGGGAGCUGGGACACUUGGUGGGUGAUGCACUUUUCCGUUUCAAUUAAAAUCAAGGUUGAGUCACAAUGAAUAAGAAAAUGCUGCUGUUAUGCAGAUUAGCCAGCAGGUUCCUAGCAAGGAUUGAGAAGUCCCUGUGUGAUUUGGUACAUAAGGGAGACCCCCCCCCCCAGAGGAAGCAUGCAGAUACUGGAUCAAGUCCCGCAGGACCAUGAAGAGCCAAUUUGGGGCAGUGCUGGCUCUUUUAAAUCACAAACAACAGGAAGAAGAUAGUUCCUUUCUCAAAUAUUUCAUGCAGCAACAGGGUGGAAGUUAUGUCUCUGAAGCAGUUUUUGAAAGACAGUCAAACAAAUUCAAACUGAAGCAGCUUUUUCAUUCGCAUCUCACCGCUGCUCGCUGCUCCGCCAGGAGGGAGAAAUUACUUUACCUCAGUGUGUGACUCAUAUGAAUGAGGCCAAGAAUUAUCAGAUCAGCCUCACAACAAGUGUGUUAAAACUUUACUAGCCCUCCAAGAUGAAAUAAAGUUGGAAACAUACACAAGCUAAGCUGAUAAGACAGGAGAAAGUGGUUAUAAAAUCUAUUUCAGUAUUGUUAUUCUUAUAAGCUUGUUGCCGUCCAGUAGAAGCUGUUAUGUCUGCAGAACUGAUACGAUGUGUUCCUGGCUUUUAUAGUGAGGUUUUAUCAAAUAGCCUUGAUUUCAGCAAGUCUUUCAACACUGCACAUUAUGGGUCAGUUGUUCUUAAAGGAGAAAUCCUUUCACAGUGUUGCACAACAUCAAUCUGUGAUGUUUGCUGCAUAUUCCAGGACUUAUGUAUCAUUGCAUUUUGAUUAUAUUUAUUAAUGUUCUUUCAUUUGUUUGCUUUACAAGGUCUUGACGUCAGAAAGUGAAUAACCACCAAAAUAUUUUCAAAUAACACAAUAUUAAACUGAUUUAGA